GUCAGUGUGGCCGAGUGGUUAAGGCGAUUGACUCGAACCUUAGUUCACUUGGCUAAGGAGAUAUCAAUUCCAUUCGUGGGCG